rnacentral:tRNA from 1 species
CCAUAAAAGGAUAUGCAGGUGUAUAAAAGGACGAGGUAAAUAAUGAAAAUGGUGAUGAGAUGCCACUGAAAAGAAUUAUAGCAGCUAAUGUUUAAUGAGCAUUUAUUAAGUCUUCAAAUGCUUUAUGUGCAUAUCUCAUUCAAAUUUAGAUUAACCCAUGAAGGAAGUACUCCUAUUUGCCCACUUUUAUAGACGAAGAAACUGAGGCACAGAAAAUUCAAUAACUUCUUGGAAGUCACGUGGUGGAAGAACCAACAUUUCCACCCAGAACUUGAGGCUUCACUACAAGUGAAGACUGAGGUUUUGUUGUUCUCCUUUCUUGGGAUUUUCAGGUUCCAGGCUGAGAAGUUGUAAAAACUCAGCUUCAGGAAGCGAGAGAAUCUGUGCAGUGGCUCUGGGAUAAGUGAGCUCUGAAGCUGCAGUCGGGGGCUCUAUUGGAAAAAUUCCUUCUCUUAGGCACUUUUACGGAACUUGAGUCUUCGGGCAGCAUAUUUCGGAGUCUGAUUUAAAGCGGAUAGAGGUCCAGAAGUCUCUGAGGAUAAGGUCGGUAACAGGUAAUCUAAAACAGCAAGUAGCUGGAAAGGAUUCCGGUGAAGUAAAAUAUACCGUCCCUGGGUGGGCUCGAACCACCAACCUUUCGGUUAACAGCCGAACGCGCUAACCGAUUGCGCCACAGAGACACGAAGAUUUUGGUUCCUAAACUUUUUCCUGGUCCCGAGAAAUUGCUUUUCAGCCUCUGGCUGGGGCCGUCCUCAGAUUAUCGCAUUCCAAAAACCAGGAACGCAGGAGACGCUGAGGCUCAGAAUUGUGUCAUUGGGCACGUUUGGACAUUCAUACCCGGCCAGAGUCAGCUGGCGGACUCUGACGGCCGAAGGCCACAUCCACGGCCUUGUCUCCUGGCUCGAGGUGACAACGUCUCUGGCUGAAGUCAUCCGCUUUCCCAUUCUUAGCUCCCGUCACCCGUCGCGCUCACAGCAAGUCCUGCAGGACCCGGCGGGCGCGCGUGCGAAGGACACGAACCGGCUGUGCCCCCGCCGCGCUGCCCGCUCUCGAUGCUUCUGGAUGUGGACUCCACCGGGCGGGACCUGGGAAUUGCUCGCGAUGCAGCCCGUCCCCCAGAGCAGGGCCUGGCACCUAGUAGGCGCCCAAUUAAUGCUCGGUGAAGGAAUGCAUUCCGCCGCAGGGUCCUAGGGGAACCAAGAAUUCCAGUGUGGGCUUUAAGCAUUUAGUCCCAUUAGGAACUGUGGAAUGGGAAGACGGGAAAGGUUUCUCGUACAGGCGCGCUUUUGUUCCCAGAGCUGAUUCAGAUCACUGCAAAGGCCCUGACUUUGGACACGUGCGCACCGUGGCUGAACUGAGCUCCCCGCCGUGGACGCCCACGUAGCCUCAGCCUGGGGUCGUCUGUCCUGGGAGUGGGGGUGGGAAAGCUGAAGAAGAGGAGAAGAAAGCGAGUUGGGGCGGGGGGCAGCCUGGUGAGGGGUGGGGAGAGAGCGAGCGAGCGCUCUGGCUACUAAAGAAAAAGGCCAACAGAAAAUGGAAAAUGCCUAUUUUCGUUAAAUAGCUUCGAUCACCCUCCCCCUGCCCCCUCUGUCGGUCAAAGUGAAGACCGUGAUCGUGUACGGUUGAUGGUUUUGAAUCCGAAUGACGGAUGUUCAUCUUUGAAAUGCUUAGUUAAAGACAGCAACUCCUCGAGAUGUCACCCUUAAGACCUGGCGACUUCUCGAGUCCAGAUCUCGGAGCAGGCCCCAGAGGAGAGGCGGAGAACGCGCAGGGCUGAGGCGCAGAAAGUGCGCUUGGCGCCGCGUGAACUUUCACUUGUGCACCCACGAUUGUCGAAGAAAGUUGGAAAAUUUCAGUAACAGGACUAAGGAGGUGGAUCCGUGCAACGCGCCGAGGUUGCCUUCGGUCUUGGCUCAGAUAUUUUACAUUUGGGCAACUGAUCCCAAACUGCAACGGAGAAGAGAAGCUCAUGGCUUUGUCUCAUCCUGCUAGCUCGGCUUGUAGCGCUCACGACUUUUAAUUUCAAAGUCUCGAGCAUCGCCCAGAGUCCAGCGCGUUUUACUUGAUUCUCUUCUAAUUGAGUACCCGCCGUUGCCGGGCUCUACGGAUCCCCGAGGCGGCCACGAGGGGGCGCGUGGUCCUUCCUCUUGGAACCCUGC